CCUACGGGUGGCAGCAGUGGGGAAUAUUGCGCAAUGGGCGAAAGCCUGACGCAGCGACGCCGCGUGAGGGAUGAAGGUCUUCGGAUCGUAAACCUCUGUCAGCAGGGAAGAACGGUCACUGUGCUAAUCAACAGUGAAUUGACGGUACCUGCAAAGGAAGCACCGGCUAACUCCGUGCCAGCAGCUGCGGUAAUACGGAGGGUGCGAGCGUUAAUGGGAAUUACUGGGCGUAAAGCGCUCGUAGGCGGUAGGUCAAGUCAAGGGUGAAAUCCCCGCGCUAAACGUGGGAACUGCCUUUGAAACUGGCAAACUGGAGUGUGUGAGAGGAUAGUGGAAUUCCAGGUGUAGGAGUGAAAUGCGUAGAUAUCUGGAGGAACAUCAGUGGCGAAGGCGACUAUCUGGCACAUAACUGACGCUGAGGAGCGAAAGCGUGGGUAGCAAACAGGAUUAGAUACCCUAGUAGUC
rnacentral:rRNA from 1 species